rnacentral:tRNA from 1 species
GGCCUCGUCGGCGACGGUGCGCACGCUGGCGGCGCCGAUGCCGUCGCGCCGGAUCACCUGCAGGACCGCGUCGGCGAUCUCCUCGCGGCGGGCCUC